rnacentral:rRNA from 1 species
GAUGAACGCUGGCGGCGUGCCUAAUACAUGCAAGUAGAACGCUGAAGGAAGGAGCUUGCUCUUUCCGGAUGAGUUGCGAACGGGUGAGUAACGCGUAGGUAACCUGCCUGGUAGCGGGGGAUAACUAUUGGAAACGAUAGCUAAUACCGCAUAACAGUAGAUGUUGCAUGAUAUCUACUUAAAAGGUGCAAUUGCACCACUACCAGAUGGACCUGCGUUGUAUUAGCUAGUUGGUGAGGUAACGGCUCACCAAGGCGACGAUACAUAGCCGACCUGAGAGGGUGGUCGGCCACACUGGGACUGAGACACGGCCCAGACUCCUACGGGAGGCAGCAGUAGGGAAUCUUCGGCAAUGGACGGAAGUCUGACCGAGCAACGCCGCGUGAGUGAAGAAGGGUUUCGGAUCGUAAAGCUCUGUUGUAAGAGAAGAACGAGUGUGAGAGUGGAAAGUUCACACUGUGACGGUAUCUUACCAGAAAGGGACGGCUAACUACGUG